GCSAAUGAAAGUGGGGUGGAUCUCCCCCUCCUCGGAGGGGGGGCCGCCGAUGGGGAGGAUGGCCCGGCUUCCGAAAGACGGAAGACAAAACCGGGCCCGCACUCCCGGGGCGCCCCGGCCUCGGCCGCGGGCGCACUCGGAGCGUACAUGUUGGGACCCGAAAGAUGGUGAACUAUGCCUGGCCAGGACGAAGUCAGGGGAAACCCUGAUGGAGGUCCGCAGCGAUUCUGACGUGCAAAUCGAUCGUCAGAGCUGGGUAUAGGGGCGAAAGACUAAUCGAACCAUCUAGUAGCUGGUUCCCUCCGAAGUUUCCCUCAGGAUAGCUGGCGCCCGCUUGGAAGGUUCUCGAGUCUCAUCCGGUAAAGCGAAUGAUUAGAGGCCUUGGGGCCGAAACGACCUCAACCUAUUCUCAAACUUUAAAUGGGUGAGAGCUGCGGCUUGCUUGAACGAAGCCGGUUGGACGAGAGGAUCAGGGUGCCAAGUGGGCCAUUUUUGGUAAGCAGAACUGGCGCUGUGGGAUGAACCAAACGCCGGGUUAAGGCGCCCAAAUCGGAGCUCAUGGGAGACCAUGAAAGGCGUUGGUUGCUUAAGACAGCAGGACGGUGGCCAUGGAAGUCGGAAUCCGCUAAGGAGUGUGUAACAACUCACCUGCCGAAGCAACUAGCCCUGAAAAUGGAUGGCGCUGAAGCUCCGUGCCUAUACCCGGCCGCCGGAAGGCAUAGGCGCCGACCGAGGGUCUUUCACUUCGGUGGGGGAUUCGAGGCGGUAGCGUGAGGCCCCGGUGAGUAGGAGGGCGCGGCGGUGUGCGUGGAAGGGUCUGGGCGUGAGCCUGCCUGGAGCCGCCGUCGGUGCAGAUCUUGGUGGUAGUAGCAAAUACUCAAGCGAGGGCCUUGAGGACUGAUGUGGAGAAGGGUUUCGUGUGAACAGCCGUUGCACACGAGUCAGUCGAUCCUAAGCCCUAGGGGAAACCCGAUGUCGAUGCGGGGGGAAUAAAGAGAGACCCCUCCCGCGACGGGCGAAAGGGAAUCCGGUUCCUAUUCCGGAACCCGGCAGCGGAACCGACCUUCGGGCCCUAGUAAUAGGAGCUCGUCGGGGUAACCCAAAGAGACCCGGUGCCGCCGACGGGAGACCCGGGCAGAGUUUUCUGUUCUGCAUAAGCGUUCGAGUUCCCUGGAAUCCUCCAGCAGGGAGAUAGGGUUUGGAACGCGAAGAGCACCGCAGUUGCGGCGGUGUCCGGGUCGCCCCCUCGGACCAUGAAAACCCGGGAGAGGGCCACGCGGAGGCGUCGCGCCGGAUCGUACCCAUAUCCGCAGCAGGUCUCCAAGGUUAAGAGCCU
rnacentral:rRNA from 1 species